AUUGAACGCUGGCGGCAGGCCUCACACAUGCAUGUCGAGCGGAGCGGCGGACGGGCGAGUAAUGCCUAGGAAUCUGCCUGGUAGUGGGGGAUAACGUCCGGAAACGGGCGCUAAUACCGCAUACUAUCAGAUGAGCCUAGGUCGGAUUAGCUGGUUGGCGGGGUAAAGGCUCACCAAGGCGACGAUCAGUAGCAGGUCUGAGAGGAUGAUCCGCCACACUGGGACGGAGAAACGGCCCAGACUCCUACGGGAGGCAGCAGGGGGGAAUAUUGCACAAUGGGCGCAAGCCUGAUGCAGCCAUGCCGCGUGUGUGAAGAAGGCCUUCGGGUUGUAAAGCACUUUCAGCGGGGAGGCGUUACCCGCAGAAGAAGCACCGGCUAACUCCGUGCCAGCAGCCGCGGUAAUAC
rnacentral:rRNA from 1 species